rnacentral:misc_RNA from 1 species
GAUGAAGUACGCAGCGAAAUGCGAUACGUAAUGUGAAUUGCAGAAUUCAGUGAAUCAUCGAGUCUUUGAACGCACAUUGCGCCCCCUGGUAUUCCGGGGGGCAUGCCUGUCCGAGCGUCAUUGCUGCCCUCAAGCACGGCUUGUGUGUUGGGCCUCCGUCCUCCUCCCGGGGGACGGGCCCGAAAGGCAGCGGCGGCACCGCGUCCGGUCCUCGAGCGUAUGGGGCUUCGUCACCCGCUCUUGUAGGCCCGGCCGGCGCUUGCCGACACAUCAAUCUUUUUUCCAGGUUGACCUCGGAUCAGGUAGGGAUACCCGCUGAACUUAAGCAUAUCAAUAAGCGGAGGA